CGAGUUAAGGCUAAUAGUCCUUCCGGUGUAUGGUAAUGACUAGAACCUUGACUCUGC
rnacentral:pre_miRNA from 1 species